rfam:Charadrius vociferus contig54336, whole genome shotgun sequence.
CCACAGGCCUUUCUGAAGGCCAAGCCUACUUAAUGUCAAAAAAUA